GGACAGAACAUGGACACAAUGCAAUUGGGAUCAAGAAGAAGAUCUUCUCAGAAAUGAAUCAAGUCCAUUGAAUGGAUAUAGACAAAAAUAUAAUUCAAGUACUAUCAGAGGUAGAGAGGCGAGACCGAGGUGAGGACAUCAUCCUGCUUUUUUGACAGUCCCUGAAGGACAAUACAGAAGAGGACUGGAGACCACGGCAGCGAUUCUGCUCUUGCCCAACCUCUUCAAUUGAGGACCCGAGUGGCCUUAUGUCCGUGACAAGAUUUCACCGCUUUUCACUCGUUUACUGCACAUCAGUGGAAAUCCAUUUCACCAUGAGAGUGAAAACCCGCUGGCCUUUGAUGGGGAGAACAUCCACGCCCUCGAGGACGUCCCCAUGGGACUUGGGGCUCUGCUAGGUCUGUAUUUUUUUAUUUUCCCUUAAAUUUCCUCAAAAUGUCAGUAAAACACUUAUGUUGUUAAUACUGUUAGUACUGUGUUCUGGGGAUAAGAGAAGUUGGGGUGAAGUUACCAGGGUCGGUCAUAAAGAUGGCAAACUUCCUAACAUAACUAAGUGGAUACGAUAUACACACUAAAGCUGAAAAAUCUGUAUUUAGCAUCAAGUCGACAAUGUUGUUAGUUUACCUAUGAUUCAUUUUUAAUGUAAGUUGUUUUUAUUGUACACCGUUAUUUUAUAUUUUUUUAAAUGUCGUGAAAAGCACUAUACAAAGUAAAUGUAUUAUUUAUUAUGGUCUGACAU